CAAAAAUCAGUCAACCUUCCACCGCCCCUCACACUUCUCUCUUCCCCAUUCUUCCCUGGCUCCCUCAUCCACAACGCGAUCCCCAUCCAUGGCCGGAGCUAUCUGGUGGCAGCCCCUCCCCUUCGUCAGCAACGCCGGCGGACGCGCGGCCCCCUGCUCUGCCCCGUCCCUCCCCUUCGCCAGCACCGCCGGCGGCCGCGCAGGCCCCUCCUCUGCCUCGCCCCUUCUUCCUAUCCGGUGACGCCGGGGCCUGCCUCCUCCUGGCGACGCCUGGGCGCUCGAGCUCGGCAUGCUCGCCGGCGACCCCGGGGCCCUCCCUCGUGCUGACGCACUCGCCUUGGCCGCGCAGGCCCCUCCUCUGCCCCGCCCCUUCUUCCUAUCCGAUGAUGCCGGGGCCUGCCUCCUCUUGGCGAUGCCGGGGCGCUCGAGCUCGGCAUGCUCGCCGGCGACGCCGGGGCCCUCCCUCGUACCGAUGCACUCGCCGCGCCACGAACUUCCCUCCCCCCCCCCACUGCUCGGGACGCCAUCAAGGUCCAAUUCCAUCUCUUGUUCUCCCCUCGAUCCGGAUGCUCUGCUCUCCGACCCCGUUCGGUAACCGUUAAUGGUUCAGAUACCCUGAGGGAGAAGGAGGUGCCGAAAGGGGAUGGGAGCAACAAGUUUGAAUCGAAAGAGUUUAUUGUACCAUCAGUGGCCGUGCUGGACAGGAGGGGCCAGCGAAGUACUUUUAGUUAUGAGUUUGUUAAACCGGCGGAAUCUAAUAUUCCUGAGAUUGAAGGAUGUAACAUCGCACAUGUUGUACUACAGCUGAAAACUCUUGGCAUUGAUGUGUAACCAUCAAGUUAGUUUAAUGUGCCCUCAAUGGCCAUGUUGGACAGGAGGGGCCAGGGAAGUGUUUUCGGUUGUUUCAAGACUGUGAGUUUGAUAAAAUGGCAGAAUCCACUAUUCCUGAGAUUAAACCAUGUAACCUUGCAAAUAUUGUACUACAACUCAAGGCUCUUGGGACUGGUGACAUCAUAGGUUUCCAUUUUAUGAAGAAACCAUCAAGGGUCUGCAAUCAAUGGCACAAUUCAGCAGUUGAGCUACAAAAACUGAAAUUGGGUGCUUGUGUAAUGCUCAUCACCCAAGGAUUGAGUGUUGCUUAUAUCCUGGAACGGGGUGCGCGUCCCAUUGGGAUUGGUCGGGGCUAUACGAAGUCCUUGAACCCUGUGAAUGUCAAGAAGGUUAUCACACAAUUGUAACGGAAGGAAUAGUAUUAGCACAACGCUGACAGAGUGCAGUUUUAUGUUCAACUCCAUCCCACUGUUUGCCAUCAAAAAGCUUUCUUAUGGUGCCUCUGCAACCAAUUGAAUUUAUUUUGCACUAAUAUACCUGCAAUAAUGCUUCAGGAUGUAGUAGGUUGUAAUACUGUAUAUCUCAGACAGACUUUAUUUGUGUUCACAUGAAUUGGAACUGAGCAUUGAACGAUCCAUAUGCAGCUUCAUGAGUCAUUUAGGUGAAGUCAGUCCAAUGCUCAGCAGGGAUCAUGUUAGCAUAUGGUCAUGCCAUAAGUCACCAAUUCCUACAUUUUCCUUCUAGAAUUGCUAUUAUUUUUCAUAAAUUCAAUGAAAGCAAUUGAUGGAUGACAUGAACAGGUUGACAAAUGAGCAUGCAUCUACGGAGUGGAGCAGAGGCGUCUUCUAGCCUAACGAAGUCUUGGCGGCAGCUGCGUGUAAAACCCUUACCAACUUCAGAUCAGAGAAGAGCAUGCACCUGUGCCGGCGAAGAGCUCGUCGUCGCCGCUGUGGGAGGGCGCCUGGGCGGCUGCACCUGUGUUGGGGAAGAGCUCGUCGUCGCGGCUGUCGUCGGUGACUCGGCGAGCUCGUCGUCACGGCGGUCGUCGGGUGCCUCGGCGGCUGUGCAGGGCAGCAACGGCACACGUAAGCUGGACGGCGGAUUGAUUCCCUGGAUAUAUUUCCGAUAAGCUAGCACAUUUGUUUCCGUAUAUGGCUCCCCGUGUAAAUUGGAUGUGGGCUGUUUCCUUUGUGCGGGCGUGGGUGUUGGUAGAGUUUUCGUCCGCCCUGGAAAAAUGCUAAACGCACUUCUUUUGUGGGUUGGUGUAAUCGUGAUGGCUAGAUCUAAUUAAGCGAUUUGAUCGUGA